rnacentral:rRNA from 1 species
ACCGUAGGUUCCGAGCGUUAUCCGGAUUUACUGGGCGUAAAGCGCGUUCAGGCGGUUUGACAAGUCGGGCAUGAAAUCUCUCGGCUCAACCGGGAGAGGUUGUCCGAUACUUUCAGACUUGAGGGCAGUAGAGGGUGGUGGAAUUCCGGGUGUAGUGGUGAAAUGCGUAGAUAUCCGGAGGAACACCAGUGGCGAAAGCGGCCACCUGGACUGCACCUGACGCUGACACGCGAAAGCUAGGGGAGCGAACGGG